rnacentral:rRNA from 1 species
UGGGAAUUUGGACAAUGGGCGAAAGCCUGAUCCAGCAAUGCCGCGUGUGUGAAGAAGGCCUUCGGGUUGUAAAGCACUUUUGUCCGGAAAGAAAUCCUUGGCUCUAAUACAGUCGGGGGAUGACGGUACCGGAAGAAUAAGCACCGGCUAACUACGUGCCAGCAGCCGCGGUAAUACGUAGGGUGCAAGCGUUAAUCGGAAUUACUGGGCGUAAAGCGUGCGCAGGCGGUUUGCUAAGACCGAUGUGAAAUCCCCGGGCUCAACCUGGGAACUGCAUUGGUGACUGGCAGGCUAGAGUAUGGCAGAGGGGGGUAGAAUUCCACGUGUAGCAGUGAAAUGCGUAGAGAUGUGGAGGAAUACCGAUGGCGAAGGCAGCCCCCUGGGCAAUACUGACGCUCAUGCACGAAAGCGUGGGGAGCAAACAGGAUUAGAUACCCUGGUAGUCCACGCCCUAAACGAUGUCAACUAGUUGUUGGGGAUUCAUUCCUUAGUAACGUAGCUAACGCGUGAAGUUGACCGCCUGGGGAGUACGGUCGCAAGAUUAAAACUCAAAUGAAUUGACGGGGUCAUAGCUGUUUCCU